rnacentral:rRNA from 1 species
CCCUUAGAUGUUCUGGGCUGCACGCGCGCUACACUGAUGCACUCAACGAGUUUACGACCUUGCCCGAUAGGGUUGGGUAAUCUUUUUAAAAUGCAUCGUGAAGGGGAUAGAUUAUUGCAAUUAUUAAUCUUCAACGAGGAAUUCCUAGUAAGCGCGAGUCAUCAGCUCGUGCUGAUUACGUCCCUGCCCUUUGUACACACCGCCCGUCGCUCCUACCGAUUGAGUGCUCAGGUGAAUAAUUCGGACUGCAGCAAUGUUUGGAUCCCGAACGUUGCAGCGGAAAGUUUAGUGAACCUUAUCACUUAGAGGAAGGAGAAGUCGUAACA